GGUCCUACGGGAGGCAGCAGUGAGGAAUAUUGGUCAAUGGGCGAGAGCCUGAACCAGCCAAGUCGCGUGAGGGAGUACUGCCCUAUGGGUUGUAAACCUCUUUUGUCGGGGAGCAAAAGCCGGACGUGUCCGGCUGUGAGAGUACCCGAAGAAAAAGCAUCGGCUAACUCCGUGCCAGCAGCCGCGGUAAUACGUAGGUGGCAAGCGUUGUCCGGAUUUAUUGGGCGUAAAGCGAGUGCAGUCGGUUCAAUAUGUCUGACUUGACA
rnacentral:rRNA from 1 species